rnacentral:rRNA from 1 species
AGUGAACGCUGGCGGUAGGCCUAACACAUGCAAGUCGAACGGCAGCACAGUAAGAGCUUGCUCUUACGGGUGGCGAGUGGCGGACGGGUGAGGAAUACAUCGGAAUCUACUUUUUCGUGGGUGAUAACGUAGGGAAACUUACGCUAAUACCGCAUACGACCUACGGGUGAAAGCAGGGGAUCUUCGGACCUUGCGCGAUUGAAUGAGCCGAUGUCGGAUUAGCUAGUUGGCGGGGUAAAGGCCCACCAAGGCGACGAUCCGUAGCUGGUCUGAGAGGAUGAUCAGCCACACUGGAACUGAGACACGGUCCAGACUCCUACGGGAGGCAGCAGUGGGGAAUAUUGGACAAAGGGCGCAAGCCUGAUCCAGCCAUACCGCGUGGGUGAAGAAGGCCUUCGGGUUGUAAAGCCCUUUUGUUGGGAAAGAAAAGCAGCAGGUUAAUACCCCGCUGUUCUGACGGUACCCAAAGAAUAAGCACCGGCUAACUUCGUG